rnacentral:rRNA from 1 species
UCGGGAAUUUUGGGCAAUGGGCGAAAGCCUGACCCAGCAACGCCGCGUGAAGGAUGAAGUAUUUCGGUAUGUAAACUUCGUAAGAAUAGGAAGAAUAAAUGACGGUACUAUUUGUAAGGUCCGGCUAACUACGUGCCAGCAGCCGCGGUAAUACGUAGGGACCAAGCGUUGUUCGGAUUUACUGGGCGUAAAGGGCGCGUAGGCGGCGUGGUAAGUCAUCUGUGAAAUCUCCGAGCUUAACUCGGAACGGUCAGAUGAUACUGCUGUGCUAGAGUACAGAAAGGGCAAUCGGAAUUCUUGGUGUAGCGGUGAAAUGCGUAGAUAUCAAGAGGAACACCUGAGGCGAAGGCGGGUUGCUAGGCUGAUACUGACGCUGAGGCGCGAAAGCUAGGGUAGCAAACGGGAUUAGAUACCCUAGUAGUCCCUGAG